UACGUAGGGGGCAAGCGUUAUCCGGAUUUACUGGGUGUAAAGGGAGCGUAGACGGUUCAGCAAGUCUGAAGUGAAAGGCGGGGGCUCAACCCCCGGACUGCUUUGGAAACUGUCGGACUAGAGUACCGGAGGGGUAAGCGGAAUUCCUGGUGUAGCGGUGAAAUGCGUAGAUAUCAGGAGGAACACCGGUGGCGAAGGCGGCUUACUGGACGGCAACUGACGUUGAGGCUCGAAAGCGUGGGGAGCAAACAGG
rnacentral:rRNA from 1 species